CAAGUCGAGCGGAUGAGUGGAGCUUGCUCAUGAUUCAGCGGCGGACGGGUGAGUAAUAUAUCGGAACGUGCCCAGUCGGUGGGGGAUAACGGUAGCGAAAGUUACGCUAAUACCGCAUACGAUCUAAGGAUGAAAGCGGGGGGAUCGCAAGACCUCGCGCGAUUGGAGCGGCCGAUAUCAGAUUAGGUAGUUGGUGGGGUAAAGGCUCACCAAGCCAACGAUCUGUAGCUGGUCUGAGAAAACGACCAGCCACACUGGAACUGAGACACGGUCCAGACUCCUACGGGAGGCAGCAGUGGGGAAUUUUGGACAAUGGACGCAAGUCUGAUCCAGCCAUUCCGCGUGCAGGAUGAAGGCCCUCGGGUUGUAAACUGCUUUUGUACGGAACGAAAAGGUUUCUAUUAAUACUAGGAGCUCAUGACGGUACCGUAAGAAUAAGCACCGGCUAACUACGUG
rnacentral:rRNA from 1 species